UGCCACCAGUCGCAGGCCCCGCCUUCCCCAGCGCGGCAGACGACUCCCUCUGGAAGCCCAGAGGGGCCGAGGAAAGAGGGGCGGGGACUACGGCGUCCGCAGUGGUCCAAACCCCGUCGUUCUCCAGCGCUGAGAUUCCGCGACGCUGAGAGGAUAGAAGAAUGCCAAGUCGACACGUACAACACCGUGCACCUCCCACGAGGCAUCGUUUCCAAGCAAAAAUAUUCAAUGAAUGAAUAUGGAAAGACACUGUUUUGUUUUUGUUUUUGUUUUUUAAAAGGACUCAUUUGCUAGCCAAUUUUCUGGAGGUGGAAGCAGGAGAAUUAAGGAUUUUAAGACCAGCCUUGACUGUAUUGUGAGUUGGAGGCCAGCUUUGGCUACAUGAGACCCUGUCUCAAAGAAAAAAAAAUGAGAAAAAGAGAAAAAAAAAUACUUGUCUGAGUAAACGAAAGGAAUAUUUUCUCUUUUUUAAAAUGUAAAAAACGAUGAAUGAUUGAUUCCUAACCCAGGGACUGAUUGUGAGGAUUAGUUUGUAAUGACGUUCGAAAAAAAAGUGUAAACGAAAUGUCACAAAGAAUACAAAAGAGGCACAGUGAAUGUCCCCUCUGACUGAGGUGAGGUCUGUCCGUUCCAGCACACCAAGGACAAAGGGGGAGUUUGAGCCUGAGGCCAGCCAAGACUACUCACCCCCCGCCCCACCAUGACAUCUGAAACCACAGGAGCCUUGGCCCUGAAUGCACCAGGAGAGAUCCAGAACUUCUACUUCUCACAAGAAAGAAACUAAGAGCAGUGGUGUCUCCGCAAACAUAAACUCUUGUAAGAAGUCUCCCGAGGGAGCUGGGGAUGUAGGGCAGUUGUCCACCUCACACUUGCAAAGCCCUGGCCUCAGUACGAGCAUUGAAUAAAAACGAAAUGCUGCCAUAUGCCUGCAAUUCCAGCAAUCCCAUGUGGUGGAGACAGAAAGAUCUGAAGUGCAUGACUACGUAAGAAUUUGACGCCCACCUGAGCUACUGGAAACCCUGUC